UAUAGAAACAAUUAAGAUAACUAAUAUGUGUGUGUGGCGUGUUUAUAGAAAACGGUUAUAAGUGUGACUGGUUCUUAAUGUAAUAGUUUCACGGAGUUGCUACUCGAAUUCUGAGGCCGACCGUACAU